GCUGCAACUCGCCUGCAUGAAGUCGGAAUUGCUAGUAAUCGUAGGUCAGCAUACUACGGUGAAUACGUUCCCGGGCCUUGUACACACCGCCCGUCAAACCAUGAGAGUUGGCAACACCCGAAGUCGGUAGUCUAACCGCAAGGAGGACGCCGCCGAAGGUGGGGUUGAUGAUUAGGGUUAAGUCGUAACAAGGUAAC
rnacentral:rRNA from 1 species